CCUUGCUCAGCCACACCCCCAAGGGAAUUCAGCAGUGAUAAAUAUUAAGCCAUAAGCGAAAGCUCGACUUAGUCAAGGCUAAAAGAGCCGGUAAAACUCGUGCCAGCCACCGCGGUUAGACGGGAGGCUCAAAUUGAUGCUACACGGCGUAAAGCGUGAUUAAAAAACAAAUAAGCUAAAGCCGAACACCUCCUAAGCUGUCAUACGCUACUGGAUAGAUGAAGCCCCGUAACGAAAGUAGCUUUAAUACCUUUGAAUACACAACAGUUAAGAAACAAACUGGGAUUAGAUACCCCACUAUGCCUAACCAUAAACAAUGAUAACAAAUUACAAAUGUUAUCCGCCAGGGAACUACGAGCGUUAGCUUAAAACCCAAAGGACUUGGCGGUGUCUCAAACCCACCUAGAGGAGCCUGUUCUAUAACCGAUAAUCCACGUUAAACCUCACCACUUCUUGCUAAAACCGCCUAUAUACCGCCGUCGUCAGCUUACCUCUUGAGAGACUUAUAGUAAGCCUAAUGAGUUUUACCCAAAACGUCAGGUCGAGGUGUAGCGAAUGCAGUGGGAUGAAAUGGGCUACUUUUCUGACCCAGAAAAUUACGGAAAGUGCAUGAAACUAGCACGACUGAAGGUGGAUUUAGCAGUAAGAAGGAAACAGUGAGUCCUUUUGAAGCCGGCUYUGAGACGCGUACACACCGCCCGUCA
rnacentral:rRNA from 1 species